rnacentral:rRNA from 1 species
CGAAGUGGCCGGAACGGGUGAGUAAUGUCUGGGAAACUGCCUGAUGGAGGGGGAUAAACUACUGGAAACGGUAGCUAAUACCGCCAUAACGUCGCAAGACCAAAGAGGGGGACCUUCGGGCCUCUUGCCAUCAGAUGUGCCCAGAUGGGAUUAGCUAGUAGGUGGGGUAAUGGCUCACCUAGGCGACGAUCCCUAGCUGGUCUGAGAGGAUGACCAGCCACACUGGAACUGAGACACGGUCCAGACUCCUACGGGAGGCAGCAGUGGGGAAUAUUGCACAAUGGGCGCAAUCUUGAUGCAGCCAUGCCGCGUGUAUGAAGAAGGCCUUCGGGUUGUAAAGUACUUUCAGCGGGGAGGAAGGUGUUGUGGUUAAUAACCGCAGCAAUUGACGUUUACCCCGCA